rnacentral:rRNA from 1 species
CCUACGGGAGGCAGCAGUGGGGAAUAUUGCACAAUGGGGGAAACCCUGAUGCAGCGACGCCGCGUGAGUGAAGAAGUACUUCGUUAUGUAAAGCUCUAUCAGCAGGGAAGAAAAUGACGGUACCUGAGUAAGAAGCCCCGGCUAACUACGUGCCAGCAGCCGCGGUAAUACGUAGGGGGCAAGCGUUAUCCGGAUUUACUGGGUGUAAAGGGAGCGUAGACGGCAGUGCAAGUCUGGAGUGAAAGGCGGGGGCUCAACCCGCGGACUGCUCUGGAAACUGGACGGCUGGAGUGCAGGAGAGGUAAGUGGAAUUCCUAGUGUAGCGGUGAAAUGCGUAGAUAUUAGGAAGAACACCAGUGGCGAAGGCGGCUUACUGGACUGUAACUGACGUUGAGGCUCGAAAGCGUGGGGAGCGAACAGGAUUAGAUACCCGUGUAGUC